AACCUGCCCUUUGCACUGGGAUAGCCUCGGGAAACCGAGGUUAAUACCGGAUACUCCAUAUUUGUCGCAUGGCGAAUAUGGGAAAGCUCCGGCGGCAAAGGAUGGGCCCGCGGCCUGUUAGCUAGUUGGUGGGGUAGUGGCCUACCAAGGCAAUGAUGGGUAGCCGGGUUGAGAGACCGACCGGCCAGAUUGGGACUGAGACACGGCCCAGACUCCUACGGGAGGCAGCAGAU
rnacentral:rRNA from 1 species